CCUCUUCGACCAGUCCGGCGCUGUCGAAGUGCACGUGAACGUCGAUCGCGCCCGCAGUGGCGAUCAUGCCCUCGCCGGAGCGGAUGUCGGUGCCCGCGCCGAUGAUCAGCUCCGGGUCGACGCCUGCCAUGGUGCGUGGGUUACCGGCCUUGCCGAUGCCGGCGAUGCGGCCGUUACGAAUCCCGAUGUCGGCCUUGCGGAUACCCAGCACGGCAUCGAUGAUCAAUGCGUUGGUGAUCACGAAAUCCAGCGCACCCUCGGCGUUGGUCACGUCGCCGUGCACGGCCAUACCCUCGCGCAUG
rnacentral:sRNA from 1 species